rnacentral:lncRNA from 1 species
ACGGCAGUUGGUCUCUGAGGCGGCGGCGGUAACAGUUAAUCUCAGGAGGUCCUGCUCGGUCCGGGCGCCAUGCCUCUGGAUCGUCAGGUGGCCAUGGGGAACCUUGGCAAUCAGGACAUACUGGCCAUCUUCUACCGCCUGCGCUUCGUGCUUAGCAACCACAUAGAGGCCGCCUGGCGAGCCCGGAACCCGGCAAUGGACGUGGGAGGAGGAGGAGAAGGCGCCCGGUUGGUCAACGGUCGUAUUCGCCCACGCGGGUUCUGAGUGACUUGGAGCACUGCUCGCCCUCGCCCCAGAAUGCCUGGCAUAGGAUAUGACUGUCAAUAUUUAGCUCAACAAGAAGACAUGGCAUUUACACACAAAAGGAAGACAUGAUUCAUUGGUUUUAAGUAAAUACAACAUAAUGCAUCCUAAAAGUGCCUGGACUCUAGGGCUGACUGAUGGAGGACCCACCAUGACCCAUUAAUCCCCUAAUAAUUAACACAUGGAAUGGGGUACCAGUGAUGAAAAAUGACCACAAUUAACUCCCUUUCAAGACUCAUUCCCAGAUAUCUGAUCCGACCAAAACUGGGAUCUCUGGGUCCUUAAUUAACAGUGAAACAUCCUCUCAUUCUCUUGGUUCUGCUUCUGUUGAGAGGCCCUGCUUAAAUCACUUUCUUCAGCUCGUUGAAAGCAGCAGGACAAAAAAGCACUGCUACUACCACAAAGGAAGCUGGGCCACUUACCUUUGAAGAUGGCUUGCACACCUCAUCUUUAAGUCUUUCCCUAAGAAUGGAUGGUUUCAAAUGUGGGAGCAAGAGUUUUCAGAGCCUACGUUCGCCAUGUUCAGGUCCAGUCCCUGUGCUUCUCCAUGGCCCAUCAUUCUCCCUGUGUCUGCUCUGCCUCUCACUGGAUAGAUGUAGGUGAGAGAUGUGCACCCCAGUACUCACUGUUUUGGGUCCCAAGUAUACAUCUACAUUGAUGGCAAAGCUAUGAGCGUAGCUGCCCCUUCCUCAUUCACCACAUGCCUGUGUUCAUUUUGUCAUUGGUGAGCACUGUGCUGUGCAACCUUCUAGCCUAGAUCUGGCCCCAGCAUCCUGAAGCAUAUGAGGCACCUUAGAGAAAAGGUCUAAAUGGGCCUUAUAAGAAAAUGAGAAUACUUUCUGUUGCAUUGUGUUUUGAGUCUUAAGUUACAGGCACAAAGCUGCAUGAAUUAAACAUUCCUAAAGUCUGUCUACUCAGCCUCUUACACUAGUCUGUCCACAGGAAAGGCAUUGAAAUAAAAGGAAAGAUGAAGAGCAAUACAGUCCAGCUUAAGUCUCUGAUGUGAUGUAUUAAAUCCCUAGGAUGUGGUGAAAGUGAACGCUGACAGGUAUCCUUAGGCUCAGAGACCACAACCACCCAGACUUGAGUACUUUGUCCCCCUACCAUUGCUUUCCUGCUUCUAGACAGUUUUGUUUGGUGACGAGUUUCUUGGGAGUAAGGGGCAGCUGACUUCUAGUGGGAACACCAAUUAUAGGACUUUCCAUGUAAGUCUCUAACAGUUGAUGGGUCUUUAGGAUGCAUGUGAGAAGCACUGCUGUGGCAGGUACCAUGCCAAUGUUCAGCCUGUGAUUAACCUUCAGAGUGUCCAUUAGCAUGUAGCCACUUCAGUGUUCAAUCUACAGCCUCUCCGGUGGAGGUACAUUAGACCCGCUCUUCCUUGGCCUCUCUGGAGCUGGCCGGCUUUUCUUGUUUGUACAGUGUACAGUGCACUCUUCUGCUUCUACCUACAAGUAGAGUGAGUGUGAGUGGCCAUGCUGCUGAAAGUGGCCUUCAUGCAGAAGACUUCCAUUUUCAGAUUUUUGUUCUGAGGACUUUGGGCUUUCUGAAAGCUCUGAGCUAUUUCAUUUCCUCAAAACCUCCCAUAGCUGGGUUAAAUGCUUUUAUUGCUGCCUCCUGUGUUGAUGUGUGUACUGUCAAGAUUUGGAAGCAGAUAUAAAAUGUGAGUACACUCUCACUACAAGUAGUCAUCAGAAAAAGACCUCCUUUGGUCAUUCUUCACAGCUCAUUUCUUCCUGGUUUAUACUAUAAUGUUGCUUUUGAAUAGUUUCCUUGCUACUUAGCAAAAAGCUAAGGACCUCACUUGCCGAGUAACUGUCCAUCUGCCAGACCUUCCUUGAGUGGCUUGUCUGCCUCUUGUUGCUUUACCGGGCUAGUUGCUCCCAUGCUCACCCUGUGUUGCCAGACAGCAAGCUUUCCUGCUUUUGUUACCAACAGAGACAAGUCAACAGCCUGGAGAUUCUCUGUGUACAACUCCAGGCCAAGUACUGACAGAGACUACCUGGUAGAUUUAGAGAGUGAUACAGACUUAACAAAACGCAGCUCUGAGGGUACAGGGAGAGCUUCCCAUAGUUGGUGGCAUUGAACUAAAGCCUUUUGUUUGCGUGUUGUCAUAUACAAGCAUAUCGCUCCUUUCCAGUUAGCCCACUUACUGAGUGCCCGUCUUUUGCCAGGCAGCAUGCUUAUGUCUCAACUUUCGAGUAUUGCCAGUUCCCUAGCAAGUAGGAAUAACUGUCCCCAUUUCACAGAUGAGGAAACUGAAGCUUAGGGUAGUCACAGCAUCUGAAGAAGUCCUACAUCUCAGUAGCUGGGCUGAGCUUUUUGUAUAAUCCUGGUAGGGACAGUCUGAAUGUCAAAAGCUGAUUCUUAACCUGCUUUGUCAAGAGUAUGUUGAGUAUUGACUGCCAUUUUUCCCCCUCACAUUUAGGAUGCAAAUCAAAAUACCCAGAGACCAUCCUUUCAGCUGUGGACUUUAUAGGCACAGGCAUUAACACUGAAGGUCCCCUGGGAAAGAAAGGGGCUCUGUUCUCAUCUUUUUUUUUCUUUCGUGGUCUUUACCAGGUUAGCUUUUUGUUUUGUUUUGCCUUUUUUUUUUUUUUAAUCGUUUUAACUGUUUGCUUGGCUAACCAUUGAGUAUUUCUCUCUGCUUGUUCUUAAUCUGAAGCAGCAGUUCGGAGCUGCUAACAAGAAGAAAGCUACACGCUGCCAUUUGUGAUUGGUAUCUGCAUGAGCAAAAGACCCCCCCCCCCCAAGCAAUUGCUGACAUCUUUGAUGGCCACCAAGGGAACUUAGAGGGCCUGAAGUAGAGGAUCAGCCCUGGUGAUGGUUCAUGUAAAUCUGCUUGUGUGGUUGCCUGAAUCUUAGCUGCUUUGUCAGCCAUUUCUAGUAGACUGGCUCUUGAUGGUUUGUGCUGUGCACCCCUGCCCACCAUAAUGCAAUCUUCUCUGCUUGUCUGCCUUGGGGACAGUUGAUAUAAUCUGCCUUUGUAGUUCAGCCUUAACUUCUAUGUUACUCAUAUCCAGUAGGUUCUCUUUUGACAAUUUGCAGUGUGCACCCCUGCCCACCAUAAUGCAACCCUCUCUGCUUCUCUGCCCUGUAUUCUGGUCUGGUCACUCACUGACUGUCAUGAGAUAUGAUGGCCCCCGCUAGAUCUUCUCUUGGGACUGUAGACUGGUUGCAGCACUGUAACAGGCUUUAGGCUUUGUCUUUGGUUCAGAAAUGCAUUUGUUUGAGACUGCUGACUAGUUACGAAAUUCCAGUAGACUCUGACUUCAGAAAAUUUCAUUUGAGCUGGUCUGGUGGCUCGUGUCUAAAAUCCUAGCACUCAGGAGGCUGAAGUAUUAGCAUUGUCAUGUUGCAGUCAACCUGAGCUAACAUAGUUCCAGACCAGCUUGGGCUACAAAGCGACAUCCUGUCUCCAAAAAUAUAAUGAAAAGUUGGGGGUGUGGAAGAGGAAGAGACCAUGGAUAGGGCAGAUACUCGCACCUGUAUUGUGCCUUGUCCAUUUCUGAAAUCCUCUGGGAUCUAUGUUCAUUUCUGAUACUCGGAAUUUGGCACAGCUCUGCUUUGUGAGCACCUAUAAUUCUAGUUCUCACACCCAUGGUACCUAUGCCUGGUACCAUUAGCACUUCAGGAAUGCCAUAAAGAGCAUCUCUGAGGGCCCUGAGGUUCCAGCUGCCUCUCAUGUUAACAAGUUACAUCCUUUUCAGGCUCCUAGUUAAAGAGUAGGCCUGGAAAUCACCCCAUGGGCAUCUGAGUGUUAAUUAAGGGUCAUUCAUAUUCAAGAGGUUCAAGAAAAUGACUUGCUGCAAUGCAUAAAUAUGAAUUAGAUUAGAAGAACAGUUGGCUGGACAUUGGGAUUUGAGUUACUAGUUAAAACUAUGUGUAAAAGGAAAAAGACUCUUAUCUAAUCUUUUGUGAAAUUAUUCCAGACCCUCAUCUGAGACUCCCAACUAAGCCCCUGGGCCUACAGACCCUGUGAUCCAGACAGCUGAGGGAAGGACUAGACCCUGGGCAGAAGAAAGAAAGGAUAGAUAAAAGCCAGUACCUUGUGGCAACCACCUCAGGGUAAUUCAAAAAUGCCCCCAAAAUUGAUCUAACAAGAACCAGGGCACCUUUCUCAGAACUAGUGUAUAUUUGGCCAAAAGGAAGGGUACUAGGAACAUGACUGCUUUGUAAAGGGCCAGCCAGACAGCAGCCCCAGCCCCAGUGUGGCUGUGGUCUCCAGAUAGGUAGUAGUAGCCUCUGGAUCAAGGAAGCCCAGGGACUUGAAUGUCAUCAGUGGAACUUUGUGUGACACUUCCGGUAGGUGGUCAUGGUUAUCACAUUUGGGUAUGAAAUAUCACCCCAAAGCACUGAUAGGUUGAAGGUUCCUCAGCAAGUGCUACUGUUGAAGAAUUAUUGUAUCAUAAGGGUGAUGACAUCAGAGGUUUAAUCCACUGAUUAUUUCAUAGUUUGACAGUUAGCUCAUCGGGCCUAUUUGUAGGAUGUGGGACACUGAAAGACUGUAUCUUGCCCUCAACCCAGUCUCCAUUCUAUCAUGAGGGAAGCACUCUUCUUUGCCAAGUGUUUCUUUCUGUGGUGUUCAGUUUUGCCUCAGGCCUACAGCCAUAAGGCCAAAGAACCACGGAACAAAGCCAUGAGCCAAAAUAAAUCUUUAUUCAUUUCA